AGCUUCGGGGUGAUCACACAUCAAAUUGCAAAUUUGAAGAAGCACCCUAAAAGGUGCCGGGGCUU
rnacentral:tRNA from 1 species